rfam:Parcubacteria bacterium DG_74_2 WOR1_52_54_94, whole genome shotgun sequence.
GGGCGCGUAGCUCAGUGGUUAGAGCGUCACACUGACAUUGUGAAGGUCACAGGUUCAAGUCCUGUCGCGCCCA